rnacentral:rRNA from 1 species
UACGAAGGGGGCUAGCGUUGCUCGGAAUGACUGGGCGUAAAGGGCGCGUAGGCGGAUGGCACAGUCAGAUGUGAAAUUCCCGGGCUUAACCUGGGGGCUGCAUUUGAUACGUGUUGUCUUGAGUUCGGAAGAGGGUCGUGGAAUUCCCAGUGUAGGAGGUGAAAGUUCGUAGAUAUUGGGAAGAAACAUCCGGUGGCGAAGGCGGCGACCUGGUCCCGACACUGACGC